GGGAAACUAAGGCUGAGAGGUGAUUUGAUGAAGGUCAUACAGCAAGUGGUAGAAGGAAGACUAGAGUCCAGGAUUUGCCUGGUAUCCUCUGCCUCCACCUCGGUUGCCCACUGAUCUCAUGUUUGGAGCCUGGCAUGGAUUCUGGCACACGGAAGUUACCCAGCCUGGUUAUCGCUGAUUGGAUGACAGAUAUAAACAUAUUGUUGAGCUUUAUUCUGAGACACAGUUCAGUUCUACUGAAGUCUUGUCUUCCUGAUUCGUUAGGAGGAACAGAGCCAUGCCUAGUCCAAGGCUAAUUAUUCCUCACUGCUAAGCCGGGUGUUUUGUGGGAGACAAGCUGCCUUUAUGAAGAGGCUGUCAGAAGCCCAUAAGUGAUGGAAUUGCUUGUAACACCAAUGAUCUGUUACCGUCCUCAUGACGAAACUGAGAACUCCUAGCCACCAAAUUAUUAACGGGGCAAACUAUUUUCUGAGCUUACCUUUGCCCUCGUUUGUUUUCACUGCCUGAGAUCGUUCUCUUCCCUUCUGGACCUGUGCCUCUUCCCUUUCAGAAUGAGUUUUGUGUAUUUCCACGCUUUGCUGCUGACUUGCGAUAUUAACUUAACAAGAGUAAGAGGUGAGCCUAUUAGCACACGUUUGGUGAAUUGGUAAAAGGAUUUAGGGGGUGAAUCACCCCACUGGUUCAUGAGGUUGAACGGGCUUUGGGAGCCACUGGGGAUUUGGUAAUAUUUACCUCAGUUUCUGACGCAUCAUCUCCUUCCUCUUCACUCAUGAAAGAUGCAGACGCCUUCAGGGAGGAGGUCCCAGUCGAGCUUGACAGCAUUCUGGGAACACAAGGAGGGACCUGUAGUCAAAAUGUGCAAAUCUGAAGGAGGCCUUUGUGCACAGAAGCUGUCCUGCCUGUAAAUGUCCCCAGUCACCAGAUUAGUGCCAAUUUAUUUUCCAGUGAAGACACCAGGGGUCUGGGGGUGGGGUGGAGUUUGCAGGAGGGAACAAAAAGGAAAAGGCAUACUUAGCACUAACCAAAUGAGAGCCCCGCUCUGAAGUAACGGCCAAAUGAGCGUCCACUGAGUGUCUGCUGAUUUGUGUGUGCUGAUGCCUCCUAAGUAGAACCGAGAGCACAAGUGCUUGGGUGAAUAUUUGUGUGAUCAAGUCAUGAAUAUUUCUUUUUCGUGACACGAUUAAAAUUGUAAUUAAAUUUUUUGCUCUAGCUGAGAAAUAACAUUUAUUUUUUUAACCAUGAAAAACAAGUUUAUCGGAAGAAAUGAUGGAUGAGUGUGAGUGUAUUUCACUGCCUGCUCCUUCCUCCCCCGCCGCCCUACC
rnacentral:lncRNA from 1 species